rnacentral:rRNA from 1 species
ACGGGUGAGUAACGCGUGGGAAUCUACCCAUCUCUACGGAAUAACGCAUGGAAACGUGUGCUAAUACCGUAUACGUCCUUCGGGAGAAAGAUUUAUCGGAGAUGGAUGAGCCCGCGUUGGAUUAGCUAGUUGGUGGGGUAAAGGCCUACCAAGGCGACGAUCCAUAGCUGGUCUGAGAGGAUGAUCAGCCACACUGGGACUGAGACACGGCCCAGACUCCUACGGGAGGCAGCAGUGGGGAAUAUUGGACAAUGGGCGCAAGCCUGAUCCAGCCAUGCCGCGUGAGUGAUGAAGGCCCUAGGGUUGUAAAGCUCUUUCACCGGUGAAGAUAAUGACGGUAACCGGAGAAGAAGCCCCGGCUAACUUCGUGCCAGCAGCCGCGGUAAUACGAAGGGGGCUAGCGUUGUUCGGAUUUACUGGGCGUAAAGCGCACGUAGGCGGACUAUUAAGUCAGGGGUGAAAUCCCGGGCUCAACCCCGGAACUGCCUUUGAUACUGGUAGUCUUGAGUUCGAGAGAGGUGAGUGGAAUUCCGAGUGUAGAGGUGAAAUUCGUAGA